rfam:Triticum urartu cultivar G1812 contig648790, whole genome shotgun sequence.
CUUAUACCCCCUCCGUCCGGAAAUACUUGUCAUCAAAAUGAAUAAAAUGGGAUGUAUCUAGAUGUAUUUUUUGUUUUAGAUACAUCCCUUUUUGUCCACUUUGAUGACAAGUAUUUUCGGACAGAGGGAGUACAUU